UGCAGUCGAANGGNAAGGNCUCUUCGGAGANACACGAGUGGCGCACGGGNGCNUANCGCGUAUACNACCUACCCUUCAGAGGAGGAUAGUCUAUGGAAACGUAGAAUAAUACUCCAUGGUCUUAUAAAGAGGCAUCUCUUUAUGAGUAAAGUUCCGGCGCUGAAGGAUGGGUAUGCGUCCCAUUAGUUAGUUGGUGAGGUAACGGCUCACCAAGACCUCGAUGGGUAGCUGGUCUGAGAGGAUGAUCAGCCACACGGGCACUGAGACACGGGCCCGACUCCUACGGGAGGCAGCAGUAAGGAAUAUUGGGCAAUGGGGGCAACCCUGACCCAGCCAUGCCGCGUGGAGGAAGAAGGUUCUCCGAAUCGUAAACUCCUUUUCUCAGGGGAUAAAUACCUCGUAUACCGAGGUUUGUAGGUACCUGAGGAAUAAGCACCGGCUAACUACGUGCCAGCAGCCGCGGUAAUACGUAGGGUGCAAGCGUUGUCCGGAUUUAUUGGGUUUAAAGGGUGCGCAGGCGGCCUGUUAAGUUAGCGGUGAAAUCGUCUCGCUCAACGAGAUAUCCGCCGNUGAUACUGGCAGGCUUGAGUGCGUCUGANGAGGUUAGAAUGNGUGGCGUAGCGGUGAAAUGCAUAGAUNUCACGCNNAAUACCGAUUG
rnacentral:rRNA from 1 species